GUGCGGGUGAAAUGGUGUGAAAGGAACAUGAUUUUGGUUCUUAAAUCAAGAGCGCCAUCGAUGUAUCCGAAGCAGGUAGACGUGGAUGGUGAGAGCCCAACACAACUUCAACUGAUGUGCCAAUUAGACUUCCAGAUCAACUGACCUCAAGGAAGGAAGGAAGAAAAGGAAAGAAGAGGAAAGCAGAGAAAGAAAGAGAGUGAGAGAGGAAAGAAGAAAUUACUGCAACAUAUGGGUUGCAUUAGAUUAUUGUUAGCUGUCCUGAGUUGUUAAAUGUCCUGCAAUUCUUGUAUUGUGUUGUUAUUCCUACUUCUGAGACUCUGAGAUAGAGACCUACACCUAAACAAUUAUCUGUUUAUAAACUUUCAUAGAG